CACCCUGUUGAGUUCCCCUGUCAGACCGCCCCCGGACUUGGUCUUGCAGUUAAGCAAAGCCACUGGUUGGGACUACUACUUGGGCUCUGCAGGAAUUGGUUCAUAUGGUUAUGGAAAUUUGCAAGAUCUGCAGUUGGCAAACUGGAGACCCAGGAGAGCUGAUGGUCAGGAUGGAUGCCCCUCUCUUCCCUCCUCUCCUCCUACCUGUGUGGUUUAAGCUGAAUUGACUCACUUCUACCUCCAAGAGUGUGUUCUGAAAGACUCAAAAUCAGGUAAUUCCAAUUUCCCUUGUCAGAGUUAUUGUUUAAGAGAUUGAUAUUUGUCAUAAACCAAUGUGACCUCAAUAAAAUAGAUUUAAAAAGAGAUUGAUAGUUAACCAGUUCACUAUUCCUAAACCAACAAGUGCAUAGCCUUUUUUGUUUUGUCAGAUUUACUCCACCAGACUAAAGAGAAGGACUGUCACUCUCUACUUGGUGGAGGGAGAUCCUGUCUUUCUACUUUCUCCCCUCUUCCAAUCUGGCUGAGGAAGCACAUUGCCGAGAUUGGGGCUGGCAGCUUUGCUGUGUAAGGACGAGCCUCUUAUUUUUCAUUUGUAUUUAAUUCUCCCUGUCGAAAAUAAGGGAUGUGACUUUCCUCCUUCC